UACCCCCAAUUUCAUGAGCAUUCAUGGCCCACCAUACAAUUUCCAUACCCCAAUGUAGCCCCCAGCCCAAAAAGUUUGCCCACCCCUGCUCUAAUACCUAUUCACGCAUUCAAAAUUGUGUACAUGCCAGUGGAGAGAAGGGUGAGUCCCCACUGGAAAUUAUGGCCUCUUAAUUAAUGCAGAGUCUUGGAAGAGGAUAUUAGAGGAUUCUUAAAAUAUGCAAAGAUUAUUAUUUUUUUUUCUCCCAACAGUUUAGUAUUUGACAUCAUUUUCUCCUGGAAUUUCUAAAACCAUGCUUUUCUGGCAGAGCAGCAGUCAUGAGAAAUUAGACAAAUCAGAUGAGUUUUUAAAAAGGUAGUUUUUUUGCAUGGGGAGGGAUGAAAGUCAGGCUUAUACAAAGAAAGAUUCCUUAAGUCUCCCUUGUAGAAAAACUGGAUGCUCAAAUGAAAAAAAGGCAACAUUUUGAUUUAGUGUUUUAAAAGCUCCAAAAUUUGAUUAUUGUUGUAUAAACAUUUCAGAACAAGAGUAUAGAAAAAGCAUACCCUUAAUUGUCAUUCUAGUUUCCUUUGCCACUAUACCCUUUGUAAAGAAUCACAUUAGUCUCUUAAUCUCAUGUAUUUUUCCACCCUCUUAUAUGAUGGCUGUAAUUUAAGCUACCAACUUCAGUCUACACAUGUUUUAAAUUAUGGGGAAGAUGAUUAUAUUCUGUGAAUAGGAGUCUCUUAAUGUUGUUUUCCUUAUGUUAGGUCAUGAAGAAAGAUUAAAGUCUUGUAGUAAUGCUGAUUUUUGUAACUUAAAUUUUUCAGUUUGGUAUUAAUUAAAAAAGGUUUGACCACUUCUUGCAAGCUAGUUCUACUAAUGAAUGACUAGUUUUGAAAUAUACCACCACUGCUCAUAAAAUUGUAACAAGGUGAGACUUCAAGACAAAUGGGGGUUUGCUAAAAAAAAAAAAAAAAUCUGUGAAGGGAUGGUGGUAAAUAUACCAUAAUGGGAAAUCACAAUGGAGCAUAUACUAUAAAAUAUUUUGCUUCAACUGGUUUCUGUGUAUGUAUAAAGAGGUCUGUUAAACCUUCUGUGGGUCAUAGUAGGACUAAUCCUACAUUUGUUCAGUGGCAUUCUUCCAACUGAUACAGUAAUUAUAUUAAAAGGUAUAAAAUCCCUUUCUUCAGAAAGCUUCAUCUUCCCUUGUCCUGUAAAGGCCCACAAUACAAGCUUUCGAAUACAGCCUUAAAAAACCAAGGCUAAAGACUGUUUAUUGCAUCUUUACAUUAAGACAUAUGACAGUUUCUCCUUACCUGUAAAUUUCCAGAACGGGAAGGUCCAUCAUUCCAGUUAUUUCCUGGGUGUGAGUGAGUCCUCAGAAGUGCACUGGAAUGCUCUGCAAAGCAGGAAAGUGCCAAAAAUUGCUAGAAGAUUCUGCCAGUGAGAGUUGAGCUACUGCCUAGGUGGUAUGUGGAAGCCUUCACUGCUGCUGCCACCUAUCCUGGACUACUGUGACCAAAGGAGUACUGCAGAUUGUUUGGGCCACUUGAAAAAUAAAAAUAAACCAGGAAGUUUAAUAGCAAGAAAAGUAACUGCAACUAAAAAUCAAAGUCACAACCACCUAAAGUAACCUACAUUAAAAAUAAAUGACAUUUUAUUACACAGAUCAGGAAUACUUAAUCAUAGUUCUGACUCACCAAUUAAAGAGACUUCCACUAACUUAAAACAACAAAAGCUUUUAAGGAAUCCAUAGAUCUGAGAAGGUAUUAGAAUCAACCAACCAUACAACGAUCUCCUCAGUUCCAGCCAUAUCAUCACAGAAUUUUUAAUAUCUAAGGAAGUGACCAUUUCUUAAAAUACAGAAAACAUCCUAACUCACUCAUUUUAGUCAAGCCUCAAAUCUAUGUAUUUUAAAUAGGAGUUAAUCUACUACCCAAAGCAAAGUCUGGGUGUAAAAUUAGUCCACACUAUUUAUCAACAGCCUCUGAAAGAAUUAGAAUUGAAAUGCAAGUUUCAAUAAUGAGAAAACAAACGUUUAAAUAAAGUCUUAAUUUCAAACCUACCAGCCACUAGAUUGUAACUGCUGUAGCCAAAUAACUCAUAGUAUAGCAAAAACAAAAUUGGGAUAAAUGUAGGUGAGGUUAAAUAGGCUGCAUUUAGAAAAUUGACACAGCAAGUAUUCCACUAGAGAUCAAAGAAGAAAUGAGAUGCCAGUAUAUUUCUUAAGUUUUUAAUCCUCUUGAACAGUGCACCAUCACAAUUUUUUAAAAAAGUUUCUGAAGCUUACUUCUUUAACUAAACUGUUUCGGCAGUGGCUUGUCUAUAAAUGUCUAUACUGGUUCACAUUCCUUACCUGUAUGACUACUUACCCUGUCAGGCUAAAAUGUGUAAUCACUGCACCAAAAAUAAUUCAGUGAGUUGUCUUAACAUAGAUCAAUUUCUGCCAAAGUUAGACAAUAUAUAGUCAAUAAAUUGUAUUUGAAUGUUAUACAAAAAGUAGCCAAUAUUCAUCCUACUUCUCCCAACAGCAUAUGUCCACAAUUACUAAGUUUGGCAAAGAGAUACCUUUAAAGUAGUUUGAGAUUUAAUAGUUUUCUUUUACAUUAAACCAUCUUAGUGCUGUAUACAGACAUACAUUCAAGGUGAAUUUCUCAAACUUGCUUGCAACCUGCAAAAGGCCCCAAAAUACUACUUAUGCCUUUGAAUGCAAGAGAAUUGCAUGGGCCUUUGGAUGUACACUGUUCAUCAUAUCGCUAACAUGAUGGGAUGACAUACAAGAUUAGUAUGACUAAGGAAAAUAAGGUUGGUUCUCUCUAGUUCAGGUAUCCUUUGUCCGAUGAAUUGUUACAAGUUAAGUUAGAAUAUUAAAUUAGUCAAACUUCAUGCUAAAGCAAAAAACGAGUUUUUAUUUAGUUUGCCAGGUAUUCUUUUAAUGACAAAAUUAUAAAAGACCAAAAACAUUGUAUUCUGAGACUGCCUUUUUUUUUUUUAAAUUGUCUGUUUUUAUAGUUACAAAUACUGCAUAAGACAAUGCCUUCUUGUACUGCAAAACCAAAAUACAAGCAUGAGUUUGUGUCUGAAAUUUCUAAAUUUAAGAAGUGUGCCUGAAUUUUCAGUUUAUUUAAUUAGGAUGUUACCCAAUAUCUCCUCACUUUUGUUUGAAGGUAUAACGAAGUACAUAUCAUCUGGAGCUGUUUUUCUGAUAAUUCUUCAAAUGUAAUUGCUCCUUUAUAAUUCAAUACAUUCACAAAAUAGCUGAAUUAAGAACAGUAUCACCAAUGAAUGGACUAUUGGGAAGAGACUAAUUUACCAAAUGUACAGAAGUAUAAGUUUUACCAUAAGCAAUUAUGCAUAUCAAAAGAUGACACCUGCAAUUAAUUUUUAAAAGGUACAAAAAAGAGGAAAACCUGAAUUACAGAAAAGAAAGUCAUUUAUUUAAUGAAAAACUAGAAGUUAAUAAAAAUUAGCAAAUACACAAAAAAUAUACACAAACAGCAGCAAUACUAUGUAGUGACUUAAGGGGAAAAAGCAGCGGCAAGAGACCAGACUGCUCAACAUGGCUUGUCAGUCAAAGGAAAAAAAACAAAAAAACAAAAAACACAACAGUAUCCUUUUCAACAGUACAAUCAAUCUACAAACAAGUUUUUAGAACUAUUUUACAACAUUUCCUGUAGAAUCAAUUCUUAAUACAAAAGAUGCCCAUUUUGGGUGUAUAUAUAUUUUCAGUGGUUUACUGUUGACUUAUUUUAAAUAUAUUAGUGUUACUACAUGCAACUGCUUCCUGUAAUUUAACAGCCUUUCCUUUUAUUUACCUUCAUAUACAUCUAGCCUCCCUCUACCAAAUAGCUUGUGUCUGGCAGUCAAAGAUGGUUACCCUAGUUUCUGCAAAAUUAAAUGCAACUGUUUUAAACACUGGCCUGAAAAUGUUUGCUUGCCAUUUCAACACAUUGAAAUAGUUACAUUGAUGCCUAAAUUGCCAUUUUCUGCAAAGAGCUGUGCAAUGCUGGUGUCAAAGACUAGACAGUCACUAUUCAUAAUGGCUGUUGCAAUUCCCUCAUGAAUAGAUCGAGGAGUUGCUUCCCAAGUCAAUCGCCGCCUAUGACCAUUAAGCUCAAGUCGAUAAGCAAAAUUUUCUGCUUGCUUGCGUGUUCCUAUCAGCUGUACAAUAGCAAAGAACUGCUGGUGACCAUCAUAUUUUUCCUGUUUCUCCAAGACUAACAUGAAAUGAAAGCCAAAACAAGAUUGCAUCAUAACCCAGUCAACAGCACCAGGAAGAUUAAUGUCUGUAGCAAGGAAAACUAUAUCUUCUCCCUGUAGUGUUGUUAUUGACUUAUGCUGAUGCAUCAAAUGUGGCAUAACAGCAUCCAGCGAACCUUGCCAUUUACAUGAAGCACCAGGACAUGGACAUGAAUAAGGCCUAAACUCACACAGCUCUUCAUGGUCUGCUUUUUCUGUGUGUGGCAAAGUUAUCUCACAUCCAGAAGAGGCGUAUUUACAUGGGAACAGUACAGAAUUGGCAACUUUUUCCAUAGCCAAAUUACGAAUGGAACCCAGUGGGCCUCGGCAAGUUGGACAGCAUGUAAGCUUGGGGCGACAGUUGCUACAAACAAGAUGGCCACUCUGACAUUGAAGAAUAGGUGGCAGCACAUAGUCAAAACACACAGGACACUCAAAAAGACUUGCCAAAUCAUUGUUGGAAGCUGUAGUGCCAGUCAGAGCAGGCACCCUCUGUGAUGGUGUACACUUUGAAGUACCUGUAGGUAGUGCUGUAGCAGUCUGACGGCUCAUUUCUGUAAUGAAGGAAAAACAGAGUUAAUAUACAAGAGAAUGUGUCAGCACACCUGUAUCUCCAUAACGAUGAGUCUUUUCCCUGUAAUUGUUGAUUUUAAUUUUUAUUUGAGAAAAAAUUAGACAUACCAUUUAAUACAUUGUAUAUUUCACAAACAAUUUUUACGGAGAGCAAAACAAAUGUGAUGCUCAUUAAAUGUGAAGAGUGUGGCUAUCGUGCAUGUGAGCGAAGCUGGAAAGGAUGUAAAAUACUUGCAUGCUGGCCAACUUUACAAAGUUGAGAUCAAGGAACAUAGAAAUUCUGUUAAAUUUUCUAAUUUAAGAUUGAGAAUGGAUUUCUGUUUGCUUGGAGAGAGAGGAAAAAAAAGUAAAGGCACUCCUGAACAAUAGGUAUUUGGUGUGUAUAUUGGAUAUAUAGAACAAGUGACUAGAUCACACCCUAGAUUACAAGAAAAUAAAGAGUUCCAACCAUAAGCAUUCUUCUAUAAUAACCAUCCUACUAAUGACAGUAAGACUAUAUUUCAAAGUCCUCAGAUUUAGCCAAUAUGAAUAUGUGAAAAGUAACGUCUCAAAGAAAACCUUGCUAUUCAAACUUUCUGACAUUUACUCUGCUUACAGGACAGGUGUAGAAAAAUCCUGAUGUUGAGAUGAGUAUGCAGGUGGGAGUGAGGCACUGGCUGGAAAAUGAGCCGAAGGAUGGACCAUUUAGCUCUUUAGCAUCAAGGGGAGGAGGAAAAAAGAAAAUCUAAAGUGAAAGGAAACCCUGCUUUCUCAGAGAAAACAAUAUUCUUUUCAAAAGAGGGUCUUAGCCCCCUACAUCUUUCCCUCCCCAUUCCCUGCUGUUUAGAAUUUUCUGGUCUUUAGGGCAGGUUGUUUGAGUAGGCUGAGGUGGAAAGUCAUUCAGAAGGUGAAGUGGUUCUUUUGCUGAAUUUGCCAAACUAAGUAUUAUUAAUAAGACUAUCCAACAAACUAAAGUCUGAGUGGAAGUUUGUUUGUUUCUUGAGGUAUAUAUAUAUAUACACACACACAUAUAUACACACACACACUUUAAACACUUGUGGCAACUUAAAAGAAUUAUUAAAUUUAGUGUUGUUCAGUGAAAGUUUGCCAUUUUACUACACUUUUUCCGUUCAGAAAAUACAACCCUAGUGGAUAGGCAUGUGGGAAGACAAACUUAAUUUUUCUUGGGAAAAACUAUAUUCAGCAGAUGUGUCAAGAAUUGCUAGAAUCUAACCAUUGGGCCUGACUCCACACUAAACUUUCAAUUACUUGAAGUGCCUCCCCUUCCAGUGUACCUAUUUAGAGUCCAAAGACUUUACUAUGCCAGAUUAGGCUGCUAACGUGUUGAAGUAUAGAACUGUCUGAAAUCAAUGAUUGGUUCCCCAGUGACAGAAGAUAGGUUGAGCCAAACUAGAUUCUACCAUUAUGGUCCUAAACUGAUUCCUGUGGUUACCUGACAGCAAUACUUGCAUGUCUGGACUGCUGCUUUUCUGUUAUGAGGCACUCCUAUUUGAAGCAGAGGCAAGGGGGGGAGGGGCUGCAGGGAGAGAGAAGAUCUCUGUCACAAUCCAGUCUAGUCCUGCAAGACCUUCUCUCUCUAAACGGACACUAGUCGUAAGGCAACUGCCAAAUCCUAUGGAAUGCUAAGCUCCAAGGGUUUGGGUAAUGCCUGAUCACUAUUCCUAGCUCUGGGACACCCAAGAACACUCCUCAGAUGCAGACCCCAUGACACUUUUCUUGAAUGCAGCCACCCAGACCCUGAAACGAGAGCCCUAGCCCUCCUGAUCGCCCACUUUCUUCCCAGUUGCUUAUUAGAUCCAUUCCGUCCAGAGUCCAUCAGGCUGGGUGCACUCUGGUGUCUCUAGUUAUACCCUUCAGGGACCAACACACAAUGUUUGGAAAGGAACUUCUUAGUACGUACAUACACUCACUUUUUAAAAAACAGAAGAGUUAUAGUUCUAUAGAAAAACCGUCAAAGGUCUAUCCUCCUCACCAGUCCUAAGAAUCUUGAGUCAGGGUCUGUCCAAGUUCAGGCUAGGUGGAGAUGUCCCUGUCUUAAGACCAGGGCCUCUUGCUGCUGCUGUUGGUUGUCCCCAUGUCCACACAACCCCUUCUCAUAAACCCAGUCUUGGUCAUGAGCCCCAGUGUAGGGCUCCAUGCGGCGUUCAUGUACAGAAUACCAUUGUUUCUUAGGGGUGGGCAGUAGAUAAAAGCAAGUCCAUAAAUCAUUAGGAGCAGUCUAGAUUAUGCUUCCUUUGUUAGACCUGCAAAAGGUAUGAAAACACCUCCAAAUAGGCUAGCAUGUAUCAGUUCAAACUGGUUCUCAGCACAGGACACAAAGUUGAUACGGGGCUCCAUCCCACCCUGCAGGUUACAAUUAGAGUUAAUCAAAUCAAAUGGUACUGAUAAGUUUUCACAGGCAGCUUCCCCAUCACACACUCUCCACCCAUGGUUUUAAUCACCAUCUCAGGACAAGAUGACAUCCAUCAGAACAAAUUCGGCCUUUCAAACAGCUAACUGCCCUUCAUAGAGCCAGCUAGAGUAACAGGCUGAUUAGGGAUUGGCCCAUGUACACAGACUAUUGUCCCAUGUCCCAGCUGGAGGAGCCAAAACCCCUCCAAAGCCCCUUCUGUUCUCCACCCUCAUCACCACAGAAAAAGCAGGAAACAGUAGUAAUACAAAUAAUGGAGAAACAAGAGAAGUUCAAGUUUAUUUUCAUAAGUUUACUCUUUAAAGCCUACAUGUUUGGUCAUACCUACAUUUUAUGCUAACCUGCUACAUUUUUUCCACCAAAAAGCAAGCAGACAGAUAACUGGAAAACAGUCAAAAGUUAUGUAGAGAAAGUUGAAAAAUUGUUUAAAGCUUUUUUGCAGUUACAGAAACCUUAAUACAACUGCCAGGAUAGCAAAUUGGUGUCAGGUGAAAAUAUAUGCAACACCUGCUAUUUUGGGUGCUAUCCCAUACCUAAGAUCCCACACCAGUCCUUUCUCACUGUGGGGGUGGGAAGCUGGUCUCUAAGCAACACUGAGAAACUAAGGUACUUAGCGAGUCACCACCAAAAAUAUUAUUGCAUAUGGUUUAACAUAAAAAUGUAUCUUAAAACAUUUUACAAGGUUUAAAUAAUAGCAGAAAGAAACUGAAGUACAGAAAAGGGGGGGAAUAUACUUUAAGAUUUUUAAAUUCUGCAUCAAGAAAAAAUGUUCCAUCAUUGAACCAAAGCUGAACCAGUGUAUCAACCUGCUGGAAAAACAAACCUAAGUUAUUCCCAAAACUGCAGAGCAGGGAAAUUAUUUUUUGUUUGCAAUGCCUGAAUCUACUGCAGACUCUCAAAUCUCAGAUAGCAGGCUUAACACGGUGCACCUAGUAAGUUGUAACACAGAAGGUUUAAAAAAAUACCUUUUCUCUUGUUGGUUUUACUUCCUGGCAAACAUGAUGUAAACAGGACUCCCCCCUUCCACGAAUACAGAAAGCUUAAGGUAGAUUUCCCCGUCAUGAGGAGUGAAACAGCUCAUCACGUUUCCCCAGAGAAACAAACACAACUCAUAACAGAGGCCCCUCCUGGUAACAUGAGGCUUGAGGACAGACAGACCUGGAACGAUACCAGAGGGGGGCUACUUUCACGCGAGAGAAUCAGGCAGACGGAGCACUAAAACCUCCAGCGCAGUAGACAGAAAUCUAGCCCACUCCCCCACGUGAAGUGCCUUCAAUAAUCCACAGGGGGAUCUGAGGGAGAAGGAAACAGCUUUGUCCGACCUGUCACACAUACAAGCUCUUCAGAAAGUCUCCCUAAAAUGGUUUCCCAAACUCUUCCGGCUGCUGCCUAGCAAAGGAAGCUCCGCUUCAGACGCUUCCUUUCCCUCGGCUGCUGAGCUACGGAGCGCCCAUGAGAAGGAUCUGGCUACGGACACGCUGCCACCAGCUCUGCGUAGCUGCAGCCAGGCCGAGGAGAGGGGGCUGCAGAGCCAGAGUAAGAGGCAGAAGGGAGAACUCCUGAGUCUUGUGCGUUGUCUCCCGUGGAAAAGCCAUUUGCUGCCAAAAGGUUGGUAGCCUCCCUGCUCUGUGCGAGCUCCUCCUAGCACCAGUCUGGCCGCACGG